GGGAGCGGGGCGGGGCCGGGAGGAUUUGGGAGGCGGCCGCUUGCUGAGGAGACUGGCCGGGGGCUGGGGCCGCGCCAGGUGGGCACCUGGGGAGGAAAGGCACGGCGUCCCGGGCCCGCGGCGGGACCCGGCGCUGGAGGCGGGGAAAGGGGCGUCCUGGGGGAGGAAGGGGACGUUGACAGCAGCCCCGGGAUGUGGAGGUGGAGGAGUCCCGGAAUGGGUUUGGGAGAGACGCCGGGAGUCGGAAACCGGUGUAGGGAGGCCAGCUUGGGUCCGAGCUCCGGCCCGCACCCAGAGGCCGGGAAGGGGCAGCGGCCCGCAGGGAAGGGCCGAGGGGCGCAGUGGGUCGGCCCAGCCGCUGCUUUGGUGGGAAGCCCCCGGCCCACGGGGGCGCGCAGGGAAACGUGACUUGGAGUGAGUGACCGUGUGGGGGGCAAAUGCCAAGCUUGCGUGAAACUCCCUCGGGUUCCCUCAUCCUCCCACCCCCAUCUUGUUUCCACAACUUCUCCACCUCACUUGUGGCUUCUUCCAGGGCUGGAGCAGAGGAAGGUGGGGAACGAGAAAUCAGAGUUGGACCUCAUCUUAGCUCUGUCUUGGCCUUUUGAGCAUUGGACGGUCGCUGCUUCUCCCUCAGCCCCACAGUUUACUUUCCAGCGAAAUGAGGACCCUAAACUUGUGCGUGAGGUGCCUUGAGGUGUUUUGGUUUUGCACCGGGACUUCUGGCAAAGCUCUUCCUUGUAACUCUACACUGAUAUACCCUAUGGUCUCUGUCUUCCCCCACAAUCCAAGUGAAUCCUUGAGACUUACAGACAAAGGAAAACCAGUAAAUUGUCAUCUAAUUUACAGUUUUAUGAAACUACUUCCUUCUGUGAAGAGAAUGAAUUUGAGGAAGAGGUAAGAAUGGAAGCAAGGAAACCAUCAGGAGGGUAGAUAAGAAUAAAUAAUAGUAAUAAUAAUAAUAACAAUAACUAACACAAUGUUUACCAAAUGGCCAGGCACUAUUCUAAGUAUCUUACAUGAACCAUCUUAAGUGUGCUAUCCAGUUAGCACUCUCUUUCAUUCUCAACAGUACUGGGAUUUAGAAAAAAGCUUACAGAAAACUAUGAAUCAGCUAAUUAAUAUUUUCAGAGAGACUUAACAGUCUUCUUCUACCUAUCAAUUGCAAACCAUUCUAUGAAGGCCACUAACCUAGAUAACUCUAUAAUAUAAUAUGAAAGUAGGAAAAACUGGACUCUCAUCUCCAAACUUCCUGAGCCUCUUCUUUUUUGUUCCCUUCUGCCCUGGCCCUGUGUCUUGUUUCUGAGUUAUAUAUGUGGGCAUUUCUAUUUGUCUCUUUUUCUCAGUGUGUAUUUUCCCUUCACUCUUCCCUUGUGUCUCUUGCUUUCCCUCUGUCUGUGUGGGUUCUGUGUUUCUUUGCUCUUUCCCCUCUUCCUUCCCCAUUCCCUCUAUCCUACUCUAAUCCCUUCCCCUAGUCUCCCUCAUUCUUCCUCCUCCCUCAACUGACCAGUGAGGUGCUGGCAUGUACAGUGUAGCUGUUCUGUUUAACAUAUAAAAUUGAUUUCCAUUUAGAACUAAGAUUUCCAAGAGCUAGUGUACUCAUUCCAAAGUGCUUCUAGAUGAUUGUUAAAAAAAAGAAUAAUUUUAAACUAUUUUAUCAUUGUGCCUGUGUUCACAUCUCUCAAGGAGAUUUACUUUUUUUUCCCAAUCCCCAAGCCUACUUGUCCCACUCUGCCACCACCAACCUGCCCGCUCUCUUCUGUACCUCGGGUCUGUCCCCAGCUCCUGUACUGGACUGCACCAAAAUCAGACCACAUCAUAUCUGUUCUUUAAACAGAAGAGGAUUGAUGUAACCUUCCGUGUUGAGCCAAGUCCCUUUUGUUCUUCCAUAAUGUUUAUUUUAGUUAACUUCCUUUUUUCUUCUCUCUUAAGGCUUGACACUUUACAAACUAUUGAUUUAGCUCUGAAGCCAGUUGUCUGGGCUCUGAAGCUUAUAUUUAAGAUGCUCUUACUUUUUCACGCAAGAGUGCCUCUCUUGUCUGUCAGAUUCCAAGGGAGAGACUACCAGGGACAGCUCUCCUCUGAGCAGAGGCUUCCCUUGUAAAGGAAUGUCUCUUUGUGUUCAUCUUGUGCAUAAAUCACCAGCGAGCUUUUAAAUGAGAAAAGACCUUGCUGACCCAGAAGGUGGUAUUUAUAAAUAGUCCUCCAGUUCCCCCUCCUUAAAGCUUGUCCACCUAAUCCUCUCCUCUCUCAAGACUGGAAGUGAUUUGACCCUUGAGUCUUAAAACUCAGGCUCUUCUUCUGUGAAAAAUCUGGUUAGCAAGAAGCUGUUAAAAAUGUUUUCAGCCAGAUGAGGAUUUAGCCAUCAAAGCUUACUUUCCACUUCCAGCAUUUUUAGCCAAAUAUGCUUUCUCCUUUGAGGACAAGCUUUUAUCAGUUAUUAUUUUAAGACACCAACCUCAGUAAUUUUUAUUUCUUUUUACUAAUAGGCUAUCGUGGAUUUGUAUUUUCAUGAUUUAUAAAGCUGUUCCCAAAUGGCUGCAUCUCUACUAUGAACUAAGAGCUGUUUUCACCUCUAAUUUACAGAACUUGGAGGGACAUCAUUAGCUGGAAGUUCCAUGUGCAUUUCUCUAAUUUUGUAUUAUUUAUUGAAGAUAAAAUCUUACAGGUUUUGUUAGGAUUAUAAUCUGAAGCACAUGAUAAUAGAUACUGAUAGUUUUCCAGAUUAGGGUGCAUGCUGGAAAUGCCUAAUUGUUAAACUGGCCAAAGAUUUUUUUUUUUACUAUAUUUCCCAAAAAGAUAAAUUAAGUCCUUAACCUGAUUAUUUAUAAGAGAAGAGAUACUUAUAUUAGGAAGAUAAACCAUGUAUUUUUAGCAGCUUCUCUCCCUUGCUAUACAAUGAAGGAAUCUUAUAUUCAGUAUUCACUAUUAGAGAGAACACUCUAAUUUAAGACUCUUUCUUUUUACCUCCUAAAAGACUGAAGAGUAAGUCCUCAUCCCAGAGGUUUCUUUGCUGACCUGGGCCAGUGGCAGUAAUGCUUUCCUGGAAGCUGUGAGGUCUGAUCCACAGCUUGUGAGGGGAGCCCCUUCUCCAAGGCUUUUCUUGCAGUAAUUUUGCUAGCAUGCCCCACUUGUAUGUGAACCUUGAACUUCAGGAGUAAUUUUAGUUUUGUUUAAUCAAGAAAGUCUGGCUGAAUGUCCAGUCCAAUGUGGCUGAAUUGGUAUGUAAGAGACUAUCUGUAGAGAAAGAAUGGCAAGCAUGUAUGGGGCAGGUUGAGUGAAUUCUGUCAUCAGAAAGCCUUGGGCUUAAAUGUCUGCAGCAGUUCUACUUAGAUCUGAGCUCAGAGUGGACUGGCUGGAGCAGUAGUGCCUUGUUUUACUUCUCCAGCUGGAGACGCUUUCUCUUGAUAUAAGAAAAACACAGAAUGGGUAAGCACAUGUGUGUUAAUUGGAAUUGUAAGACAUGGCCUAAGCAAGUAUGUAUACUUUUGACUUGUUUUAGAAUUUAGUUGUUAAAAAAAGUGGAGUUUAGAAAUACAAAGCAGGGGAAAGAAACCAUGUGGGUGUAGAACAGCAAUAUGUAGCGGUCUAGUGAGCAUACGAGGAGAGUUUGCUAGAUUGCGCUCAUUGAGAGGAGAGUGGACAACCAGCACAACUUCAGAGCAGUGGUAGGUUCACUCACGGAGAACAGCACGAACAGGUCGGGGCCCAGGAGGUUAGGGCAGCCGUCAUGUUCAAGGCACGUUACUGGAUAACCUGUGGUUAUAUUUGUGGCUUUUCUCACACAGCAGCAUAACUUAGAAAGAAUCUCUCUAGAGGGUUAAAUGUAGUGCCAUUACAUGCAUAAUGAUGCUGCUCUACCAUGUUCAGGGCUCUCCACUGCAAGCUACCCAAACAAUGGGAAAAGCUGAAGGCUCUCUGGGCCUUUCAGAAUUGACAGGCAAUUUGGAAGACCAAGACUGCAGCCACCUCUGCACUAGGGAAAGGUCAGGUUGGCAUACCCACUGCCUCACCCUGAAAAGCUGACUUUACUCAAGUUCUUGUGUGACUACAGCUUCAGGGACCCAGAACUAGGUACCCUAGGUAAGCCUAGGUCUUGUGCUUUCCCCCAGCUGCCCCAGAACCGAGUACAGAAGGAUCUGGAUCUUCUAGUUGCUGUGGUGCAAAGCCGUCACUGCCUCUCAUGGGGGAAGGGAGGCUGCAGGGUGCUGUUGGGAAGAGGGUUUGGUUGCUAGGCAGAAAAAAAACAAUACAUGUAAACUGUAUCAGCUGUAUUUAUCAAAGCUCAGUCUCUUUACAAAUAUUAACCACCUUUUUUAGACUUAGUCUCCAUGCAUGGAUAAUAUUAAUUUUCUUUCCCUUUAAUGAUUUGUCCAUUUUUUAAAAAUUGGAACUAUCCUUUUAAAUGGAGUCUUUAUUGUUACCAAAGUUGUAUGUGUACCUCAUUUAGCGUCAUAGUUGCACUGGCUUCUAAUGAAGAAAUGUGUUUGUUCCAAGUUCACCCAUCCCUAUUUUCUACU